AAUCAACGCUGGCGGCGUGCCUCAGACAUGCAAGUCGAACGAUUAAAGCUCUCUUCGGAGAGUGUAUAGAGUGGCGCACGGGUGAGUAACACGUAAGUAAUCUACCCUCGAGUGGGGAAUAACAACCGGAAACGGUUGCUAAUACCGCAUAAUGCAGCGGCACCGCAAGGUGACAGUUGUUAAAGAUUUAUCGCUUGAGGAGGAGCUUGCGGCAGAUUAGCUAGUUGGUAGGGUAACGGCUUACCAAGGCUACGAUCUGUAACCGGUCUAAGAGGACGGUCGGUCACACUGACACUGAAUAACGGGUCAGACUCCUACGGGAGGCAGCAGUCGGGAAUUUUGGGCAAUGGGCGAAAGCCUGACCCAGCAACGCCGCGUGAAGGAUGAAGUAUUUCGGUAUGUAAACUUCGAAAGAAUAGGAAGAAUUAAUGACGGUACUAUUUAUAAGGUCCGGCUAACUACGUGCCAGCAGCCGCGGUAAAGUCACGUCG
rnacentral:rRNA from 1 species